rnacentral:rRNA from 1 species
UAACAGAGGGUGCAAGCGUUAAUCGGAAUUACUGGGCGUAAAGCGUGCGUAGACGGUUAUGUAAGUUAGGUGUGAAAGCCCCGGGCUCAACCUGGGAAUUGCAUUUAAGACUGCAUAGCUAGGGUGCGGAAGAGGGAAGCGGAAUUUCCGGUGUAGCGGUGAAAUGCGUAGAUAUCGGAAGGAACAUCAGUGGCGAAAGCGGCUUCCUGGUCCAGC